rnacentral:lncRNA from 1 species
GUUUUCAGGUUUAGAAAUCAGCAGUAAAAAAAGUCUGUCAAUUACUUAAAUGGGAAGCAAAAAAUCUGAAAUUGUACUCGGAAUUUUCUCUUUUCGUUUUUUUUCAUAAAUAUUACAAUAAAUGAAACUAACCAGUUGGCAGUAAAUGACCAGCUUAUUCCCAUAUUCUGUUCUAUUUUUCCUAUAUUUCUAAUGUUCCUUUCUCCCUUUUUAGCUACUUUUUUUUCCAUUCUUUACAAAUAUUUUCCUUCUCUCUUGUUUUUUCUUCUCUCAGCCUCUUUUCCUGUGUUUCCUCAAUCUAUAGCUCUCCCGUUCAUUCGCCCUCUCUCUUAAUAUCCUUUCAAUUUUUUCCUUAAAAUUUUUUAGGUUCGGGUAACCAAAUUCUGUUUUUUGUUUUUUGCUGUUUCUUUUCUUUUUGUAAUUUUUGAAACCCCCUACAUCAUUGGAGAUUGAUUUCAGGUAUG